GUCCACGCCGUAAACGAUGGAUGCUAGAUGUUUCCGGUAUUGACCCCGGAGGUGUCGUAGCUAACGCGUUAAGCAUCCCGCCUGUGGAGUACGGCCGCAAGGCUAAAACUCAAAGGAAUUGACGGGGGCCCGCACAAGCGGUGGAGCAUGUGGUUCAAUUCGACGCAACGCGAAGAACCUUACCUGGGUUGGAACCCUCCAGAAGUCCGCAGAGAUGUGGAUGUGCUCGCAAGAGAACUGGAUGUCCAGGUGCUGCAUGGCUGUCGU
rnacentral:rRNA from 1 species